UCCAGACUCCUACGGGAGGCAGCAGUGGGGGAUAUUGCACAAUGGGGGGAACCCUGAUGCAGCGACGCCGCGUGGGUGAAGGAGUGCUUCGGCAUGUAAAGCCCUAUCGGCAGGGAAGAAGCAAGACGGUACCUGACUAAGAAGCCCCGGCUAACUACGUGCCAGCAGCCGCGGUAAUACGUAGGGGGCGAGCGUUAUCCGGAUUCACUGGGUGUAAAGGGAGCGUAGACGGCCGUGCAAGCCAGGGGUGAAAGCCCGGGGCCCAACCCCGGGACUGCCCUUGGAACUGCAUGGCUGGAGUGCGGGAGGGGCAGGCGGAAUUCCUGGUGUAGCGGUGAAAUGCGUAGAUAUCAGGAGGAACACCAGUGGCGAAGGCGGCUUGCUGGACAGUAACUGACGUUGAGGCUCGAAAGCGUGGGGAGCAAACAGGAUUAGAUACCCGUGUAUA
rnacentral:rRNA from 1 species